rnacentral:tmRNA from 1 species
GGGGACGUUCUGGAUUCGACAGGGGUAGGUCGGGUUUAGGUUGCGAGCCGAGGGGGUCGGCCUCGAUAAAACGCCAACGCCUAUAACUGGCAAAGAAAACAACAACCUCGCUUUAGCAGCGUAAGCUCUAUAGCGGUUCCUCCCUCCAUCGCCCACGUGGUAGGGUAAGGGACUCACUCUUAGUGGGAUACGCUUGACGCUCUCCGCCUGGGGGCGCCAUGAAGAGAACAAUCAGGCUAGCCGCACGGGUGCCUGUCGGUAGGCCGAUGUGCUGGCGAAAUCGAAGUAUGCCGACUACGCUCGUAGAAGCUUAAAUUGCGUUAUCUCUGGACGUGGGUUCAAUUCCCACCGUCUCCACCA